GACGAACGCUGGCGGCGUGCUUAACACAUGCAAGUCGAACGGAAAGGCCCUGCUUUUGUGGGUUGCUGGGGUGGCAAAGGGGUGGGAAACACGGGGGUAACCUGCCCUUGACUUGGGGUAACCUCAGGGAAACUGGGGCUAAAACCGAAAGGGGGCUCCGGCGGCAUGGGGGGGGUGGGAAGGUUUCGGCGGUUGGGGAUGGACUCGCGGCUUAUCAGCUUGUUGGUGGGGUAGUGGCUUACCAAGGCUUUGACGGGUAGCCGGCCUGAGAGGGUGACCGGCCACAUUGGGACUGAGAUACGGCCCAGACUCCUACGGGAGGCAGCAGUGGGGAAUAUUGCACAAUGGGCGGAAGCCUGAUGCAGCAACGCCGCGUGCGGGAUGACGGCCUUCGGGUUGUAAACCGCUUUCGCCUGUGACGAAGCGUGAGUGACGGUAAUGGGUAAAGAAGCACCGGCUAACUACGUG
rnacentral:rRNA from 1 species